UAGGAUACACUGGGAUAAGCUUUUAAGUGUGGAGACAGUCGAGGAGCAGUGGAACAGGUUUAAAAAUGUUUUACAUGUAAUGCAGGACAGAUACAUACCUAAAUUUGGAAUUAAUAGGAAACUAAAAAAAACUCCACGGUGGAUUAAUAAAGAUUUAAAAAAGACGCUGCAAAGGAAAAAACAGCUUUAUAAGGCAUAUAAGACUAAUGACUGCAAAGUGAAUUGUAGAGCGUAUGAGAACAUGAGGGCAACCAUUAAGAAGGAUAUCAGGAAGGCUAAAAGACAAUUGGAGAGGAAUAUAGCAGAUAAGGCGAAAGACGACCCUAAGAGAUUCUUUCAGUAUUUUAGUAGUAAAAGAACAGUUAAGGAGGAGGUCAAGUGCAUCAGGAAUAGUAAAGGGGAAUUAAAAGAUACAGACAGUGAAAUAGCGGAUGCCUUAAACUUACAUUUUUCUGAGGUGUUUACAAGUGAGCAAGUGGAUAACCUCCCAGAGGUAAACGCGACUACUAAGGAGGUACUGAGGGAUUUGGAAAUUGUAGAGGGAGAAAUACUGCUCAGAUUAAAUAAGCUGAAAUUGAACAAAUCACCAGGACCAGAUAAUAUUUAUCCUCGUGUUCUUAAGGAGGCUAGUGAGUACAGAUAUAAACCCUUGACGCAUAUUUUUUAGGAAGUCACUGCGCACUGGA